rnacentral:rRNA from 1 species
CAGUAGCCACGGUAAUACGUAGGGUCCGAGCGUUGUCCGGAAUUAUUGGGCGUAAAGGGCUCGUAGGCGGUUUGUCGCGUCGGGAGUGAAAACCAGCAGCUUAACUGCUGGCCUGCUUUCGAUACAGGCAGACUUGAGGCAUUCAGGGGAGAACGGAAUUCCUGGUGUAGCGGUGAAAUGCGCAGAUAUCAGGAGGAACACCGGUGGCGAAGGCGGUUCUCUGGGAAUGUUCUGACGCUGAGGAGCGAAAGUGUGGGGAGCGAACAGGAUUAGAUACCCCAGUAGUCCCUGUCUCUUAUAA